rnacentral:rRNA from 1 species
GACGAACGCUGGCGGCGUGCUUAACACAUGCAAGUCGAACGAUGAACCCGGAGCUUGCUCCGGUGGAUUAGUGGCGAACGGGUGAGUAACACGUGAGUAACCUGCCCUUGACUCUGGGAUAACUGCGGGAAACUGUAGCUAAUACCGGAUACUUUCACCGGGGGGCAUCCUCUGGUGAUGAACAAAUUUCGGUCAAGGAUGAGCUCGCGGCCUAUCAGCUUGUUGGUGGGGGAACGGCUCACCAAGGCUAUGACGGAGAGGGGAUGUGAGAGCGUGAUCCCCCUCAGUGGAACUGGGACACUGUCCACACUCCUACGGGAGGCUGCAGUCGAGAAUAUUGGGCAAUGGGCGAAAGCCUGACCCAGCGACGCCGCGUGCACGAAGAAGGCCUUCGGGUCGUAAAGUGCUUUUUUUCGGGACGAAUCAAUGACGGUACCGAAAGAAUAAGAGGUUGCUAACUCUGUGCCAGCAGCCGCGGUAA